rnacentral:rRNA from 1 species
AUGUCUUCUCAAGAGUCAGUCGGGGCAAACAGCGACGCUGACCACUUUGGGCCGGCAACGGAGGAAGAGAUGGAGGCUGACCUGAUGAGAGUAGAUGCCAUGGAAGAUCAAGAAGUCACCUCUCGCUUCCGAGCUGGGUUUAUGAUGGGGGAACUACACAGCUCAGCUAUUCCAAACUCGGUUAUUCCUUCCAAUGUUAAAUUUCUUUCCUAUGAAAAUAUGAGGAGAAGUAUCUCUGGUUCUCCCGCAGCUAUGCAACACCCUUGGGGGCAAGGAGCUUUAGCCGUUACAGGAAAGCUUCGCAAGGAAAUAAUGGACCUCAAGCAGCAGGUCAAUAAGCUCGAGGAGGAGAACCGUAUUCUGAGGGGGAUCAUCGCUAAGAAUAUUACGCCAACAACAAAGAAGGAGACAUAA